rnacentral:rRNA from 1 species
CCUACGGGAGGCAGCAGUGAGGAAUAUUGGUCAAUGGGCGGGAGCCUGAACCAGCCAAGCCGCGUGAGGGAAGAAGGUACAGCGUAUCGUAAACCUCUUUUGUCAGGGAACAAAGGCGGGGACUCGUCCCCUGAUGCGUGUACCUUACGAAAAAGCAUCGGCUAACUCCGUGCCAGCAGCCGCGGUAAUACGGAGGAUGCGAGCGUUAUCCGGCUUUAUUGGGUUUAAAGGGUGCGCAGGCGGACUGUUAAGUCAGCGGUAAAAGCCCGGGGCUCAACCCCGGCGAGCCGUUGAAACUGGCGGGCUGGAGUUGGAGAGAGGUAGGAGGAAUGCGGGGUGUAGCGGUGAAAUGCUUAGAUAUCGCGCAGAACCCCGAUUGCGAAGGCAGCGUACCGGAUCAACACUGACGCUGAGGCACGAAAGCGUGGGUAUCGAACAGGAUUAGAUACCCCAGUAGUC